rnacentral:piRNA from 1 species
UACUAAACAAGGAAAAAUUUGCCAC